rnacentral:lncRNA from 1 species
AAUGGUCUAAGGUUCAACAAAUCUGUACAUGGAAGACCGACCUUGGUCCACAAUGAAAGUGUCCAUGUACCUAAAACAACAAAGUUAAGUUGUUAGAAACUAAUAAUCUAAAUAUAACUAAUAUGGAAGACAAAAUUAACUAUCUUACAUGCACCAUAGUUGAAGGAUGGAAAUAUUCAACAUUUUGUCUCCCCCAACG